GCUAACGUGAAGAACCGAUACAUUUGGCGAACAAAAGUAUCAGCUAGAAUUCUAACGUGAAGAACCGAUGGCAGCGUUUCAUCCUCCACAGAAGUUUCUUGACUGGGAUGGCGCAGGAGCUGGUGACUUCAACCCACAGUCUUCAGAACCACCAGUCACCAAGCAUAGCUGAUCCUAAUGAUAUGAUGCUAUUUCCUAUUGCCACUACAACAUUUCUCAUUCUAGAGCAGAUGGUUCUGUACAACCUCUCCUAAACUGGUAUUCCGCAAGAUGCAGCCCGAAAAUAGGAAGAGGCCACUCAAUGACUUCUGAUACAAAGACUUCAAAUGGUAG